UACGGAGGAUGCAAGCGUUAUCCGGAAUCAUUGGGCGUAAAGCGUCCGUAGGUGGCAUCUCAAGUCCAGUUUCAAAGACCGAAGCUCAACUUCGGAAAGGGAGUGGAAACGGGGAAGCUAGAGUAUAGUAGGGGUAGAGGGAAUUCCUAGUGUAGCGGUGAAAUGCGUAGAGAUUAGGAAGAACACCAGUGGCGAAGGCGCUCUACGGGGCAUAUAAUGACACUGAGGGACGAAAGCUAGGGGAGCGAAAGGG
rnacentral:rRNA from 1 species